UGGACUUUGCAUGCUUUACUUUGAAAUUUC
rnacentral:piRNA from 1 species